AGCUGCAGGGUCAGUGAAAAAUACAGAAAGGCAGGUACUCCUGGGCCUAUGCAGAUGAUGGUAUCCUGAUACUUUACUUAGGAAAAGAAAAAGAAUCCUGCAGCUUUCUUUGCUGCCUUGGAGCACCCGAUGCAUGGCUGGCGUUUUAGACCUGUUAAUGAUGUCAAAAGA